AUCCGGGUUGCGGACAGUGUCUGGUGGGUAGUUUGACUGGGGCGGUCUCCUCCUAAAGAGUAACGGAGGAGCACGAAGGUUGGCUAAUCCUGGUCGGACAUCAGGAGGUUAGUGCAAUGGCAUAAGCCAGCUUGACUGCGAGCGUGACGGCGCGAGCAGGUGCGAAAGCAGGUCAUAGUGAUCCGGUGGUUCUGAAUGGAAGGGCCAUCGCUCAACGGAUAAAAGGUACUCCGGGGAUAACAGGCUGAUACCGCCCAAGAGUUCAUAUCGACGGCGGUGUUUGGCACCUCGAUGUCGGCUCAUCACAUCCUGGGGCUGAAGUAGGUCCCAAGGGUAUGGCUGUUCGCCAUUUAAAGUGGUACGCGAGCUGGGUUUAGAACGUCGUGAGACAGUUCGGUCCCUAUCUGCCGUGGGCGCUGGAGAACUGAGGGGGGCUGCUCCUAGUACGAGAGGACCGGAGUGGACGCAUCACUGGUGUUCGGGUUGUCAUGCCAAUGGCACUGCCCGGUAGCUAAAUGCGGAAGAGAUAAGUGCUGAAAGCAUCUAAGCACG
rnacentral:rRNA from 1 species